CACCUUGAAAUGAACGAUGCCUCAUGUCUCUACAGGGUGGACAUAGCUCUAACUGUGAAGCUAGUUGGACAGGCGAAACAUCCACAGUCUUUCUUGACCUGAAUCAAGCUCAGAGUGACAGUGUUUAAAUUAUAUGUCAAGUUCUGUGUGAAAUGAGAGACCAUGGGGAUUCAUUCUUUGAGAUUUUAUGGAACAAUGUAGACUCAUGCCCAGUAACAGAUCUGGAGAGGAGAAACAGGCUAAAAGCCAAUAUGUUUCACAAGAGCAACUGAAACCAAUAUUUCAAAUGAA
rnacentral:lncRNA from 1 species